rnacentral:rRNA from 1 species
CCUACGGGGGGCAGCAGUGGGGGAUAUUGCACAAUGGGGGAAACCCUGAUGCAGCGACGCCGCGUGAGUGAAGAAGUAUUUCGGUUUGUAAAGCUCUAUCAGCAGGGAAGAAAAUGACAGUAUCUGACCAAUAAGCACCGGCUAACUACGUGCCAGCAGCCGCGGUAAUACGUAGGGUGCAAGCGUUACCCGGAUUUACUUGGCGUAAAGGGAGCGUAGACGGUAAUGUAAGUCUGGAGUGAAAGCCUGGGGCCAAACCCCAGAACUGCUUUGGAAACUGUGUAACUGGAGUAUAGGAGGGGCAGGCGGAAUUCCUGGUGUAGCGGUGAAAUGCGUAGAUAUCAGGAGGAACACCGGCGGCGAAGGCGGCCUGCUGGACUGAAACUGACGUUGAGGCUCGAAAGCGUGGGGAGCAAACAGGAUUAGAUACCCCAGUAGUC